rnacentral:rRNA from 1 species
GACGAACGCUGGCGGCGUGCUUAACACAUGCAAGUCGAACGGUAAGGCCCUUCGGGGUACACGAGUGGCGAACGGGUGAGUAACACGUGGGUGAUCUGCCCUGCACUUCGGGAUAAGCCUGGCAAACUGGGUCUAAUACCGGGUAGGACUCCUGGCUUCAUGGUUGGGGGUGGAAAGCGUUUGUGGUGUGGGGUGGGCCCGCGGCCUAUCAGCUUGUUGGUGGGGUAAUGGCCUACCAAGGGGACGACGGGUAGCCGGCCUGAGAGGGUGACCGGUCACACUGGGACUGAGAUACGGCCCAGACUCCUACGGGAGGCAGCAGUGGGGAAUAUUGCACAAUGGGCGCAAGCCUGAUGCAGCGACGCCGCGUGAGGGAUGACGGCCUUCGGGUUGUAAACCUCUUUCAGCUAUGACGAAGCGCAAGUGACGGUAGUAGCAGAAGAAGGACCGGCCAACUACGUGCCAGCCGCCGCGGUAAA